GUGUGUGUGUGUGUGUGUAGGUGGUGUAGUGGGGUGUGGAGGUGGUGUAGUGGGGUGUGGAGGUGGUGUAGUGGUGUGUGGAGGUGGUGUAGUGGUGUGUGGAGGCGUGUGGAGGUGUAGUGGUGUGUGGAGGUGGUGUAGUGGUGUGUGGAGGUGGUGUAGUGGUGUGUGGAGGUGUGUAGUGGUGUGUGGAGGUGGUGUAGUGGGGUGUGGAGGCGUGUGGAGGUGGUGUAGUGGUGUGUGGAGGCGUGUGGAGGUGGUGUAGUGGUGUGUGGAGGUGUGUAGUGGUGUGUGGAGGUGGUGUAGUGGUGUGUGGAGGUGGUGUAGUGGGGUGUGGAGGUGGUGUAGUGGUGUGUGGAGGUGGUGUAGUGGUGUGUGGAGGUGUGUAGUGGUGUGUGGAGGUUGUGUAGUGGGGUGUGGAGGUGGUGUAGUGGUGUGUGGAGGUGUGUUAUGGGGUGUGGAGGUGUGUAGUGGUGUGUGGAGGUGGUGUAGUGGGGUGUGG
ensembl:lncRNA